rnacentral:lncRNA from 1 species
GCAAUCAGACAAAAUAAAUAUUUGUCUUUUACAUAUUUAAUUUUGAGUCGGACAAGGAAUGAUCAUUUUCCUUUAUUUUCUCGGUUACCCUGGAGCUGUACAAGUCAUACACAGCUCCAUUGGAGAGAAAACUGGAUGGAACCAUUUGGCUGAAAAUCCAUGUCCAAGGCCAACAAGAAAGAGCUGAGACACUGCUGAAAGAGCAGGAAUAAAUAAAAGGUGAAGACAGACAGAGACCAGGCAAGGAGGACUCAAUUACAGACUGGUAGAAGACUCAAGGAAGAAAAUGAAGAGAAACAAAAACAGAAACGAAGAUAUCCAUGGCACCUAAUGUUAUAAGAAGAAGAAAGCACUUGUAAUCACAGGGGUACUGAGAAAAGAAGAACCUCACAUACUUCCGGAAAACUGCAUGAAAAGUACAGAAAUUCAGUGUCCAGAUGUUUCAGAAUCCAGAUGGCCUAAGAAUCCUCUAUCACCCAGAAAGGAGGAAAAUGUGCAUGAAAGUGGAACAUUUAAAAGAAAAAAUAAUUUAGCUUUGGCUAUGUAGUGACAACAUACAGAGCUCGAGAAAAAGCUUCCUCUCCUAAAGCAGCAACUUAAUAAAAGGCAUGUUAUAGGCUUUAUCA